UCGAGCGCCAGCGAGAGAGCGUUGCCGCAGGCAACGACCCGAAGGGCGAAGCGCGCAGCGCUGAGUAAUCCUUCCCCCACCACCA
rnacentral:ncRNA from 2 species